rnacentral:misc_RNA from 1 species
CCGAGUUUACAACUCCCAAACCCCUGUGAACAUACCUUUACUGUUGCUUCGGCGGGAUCGCCCCGGCGCCCUCGGGCCCGGACCCAGGCGCCCGCCGGAGGACCCAAACUCUUGUUUCCAUUGUGAUUCUCUGAGUGAUACAAGCAAAUAAAUUAAAACUUUCAACAACGGAUCUCUUGGUUCUGGCAUCGAUGAAGAACGCAGCGAAAUGCGAUAAGUAAUGUGAAUUGCAGAAUUCAGUGAAUCAUCGAAUCUUUGAACGCACAUUGCGCCCGCCAGUACUCUGGCGGGCAUGCCUGUUCGAGCGUCAUUUCAACCCUCAAGCCCCUUCGGGCUUGGUGUUGGGGAUCGGCCUGCGGCGUCUGACGCCGUGGCCGGCCCCGAAAUCUAGUGGCGGUCUCGCUGUAGUCCUCCUCUGCGUAGUAGCACACCUCGCACCGGAACUUAGCGCGGCCACGCCGUUAAACCCCAACUUUCUGAAGU